rnacentral:lncRNA from 1 species
CAGUAGCCUAGACCUUGACUGUACUCGCACUAGGUGGAAAAUUAAACCAGAAACUAUUACAUUCUGAUAACUACUUUUACGGUGGCUUUGGAAACUCAUGGGAUCUACUUUAGCUCACAGAAUGAGCACAAAGAAAGGACAGAUUGUAAGUGAGGAGCUGUUGGUGAUGUGAGAGUGAUACCUGCCCAAACACACUGGAAGCCAGCGGCCAUCGGUCCUGCACAUUUCAGUCCAGAGUGCUCACUGUUACACCAGGAAGACACGUCAGUCCUGCACGUUUCAAUUGGACUUGCCAUACCUGAGUUGCUAAGCUAUGAGGUUCCUGAAGACACUUCUGCUAUUGAGAGGCCAAUCAAACUGGUGAUACUCAACAGACAGAACUUUCAACAGAUGUGAAGCAAGAAGGAAGGAAAGAGUCCGUAUUGGGCUGCUCAA